rnacentral:rRNA from 1 species
AUUGAACGCUGGCGGCAUGCUUUACACAUGCAAGUCGAACGGCAGCGCGGGCUUCGGCCUGGCAGCGAGUGGCGAACGGGUGAGUAAUACAUCGGAACGUGCCCAGUAUUGGGGGAUAGCUCGGCGAAAGCCGGAUUAAUACCGCAUACGACCUGAGGGUGAAAGCGGGGGAUCUUCGGACCUCGCGCUAUUGGAGCGGCCGAUGGCAGAUUAGCUAGUUGGUGGGGUAAAGGCCUACCAAGGCGACGAUCUGUAGCUGGUCUGAGAGGACGACCAGCCACACUGGGACUGAGACACGGCCCAGACUCCUACGGGAGGCAGCAGUGGGGAAUUUUGGACAAUGGGCGAAAGCCUGAUCCAGCAAUGCCGCGUGUGUGAUGAGGGCCUUCGGGUUGUAAAGCACUUUUGGCGGGAAAGAAAAGGACUGUGCCAAUACCACGGUUCGAUGACGGUACCCGCAGAAUAAGCACCGGCUAACUACGUG